GAUCAUUACAAAUUAAACGGUACUGAAUAGAUGCUGUUUAUUUGAUGUAAUAAAAAAACACUUACUCUUCUCUGUCUACAUUAAAGAAAACUUUUUUAUUUUUAUUUUACUGCUGUUUUUUGCAGACAGUUUGUUAGCUAAAACGUAUAUCGAGGUACGCAUCGUGUAUCAUAGAAGUAUCGCGAUAUGAUAUGUUUUUGUCAUAUCGCGCAGACCUUCUGAUUUUUCAUACAAUUGCAAUUAUUUGUGGAAUUAGAAUUAUUGGCUGGCAAGUUUCAUUUCAUUGUCCCAUAACACAAAGAUUUGAGGGACACAAAAGGUAACCGAUUUGCGAUGCGCACAAAAUCUCGUUUGGAAAUGGCUAAAGGGAUGAACUUGAAUCAUUUGAAUGAAUCACUAAAUCAGUCAGUUCAGAGGAUUGAAUCAGUGAAUCAUUUCUUGGGCAGUUGUGUUUCUUUAUAUAAAAACAGAACUCUAGAAAAAUGUUAAACUUUAUCUUCAGCUCAAUGACUUGGUGAAAUGUGAAAGUCAGUUUGAAACGUGCAUAUUGCACAUUUGUCUCUUCUUUGGUCAAUCUUGAAAAUAAACGUGUCUUUUAAAAAAUAUAUAUUUUUUAUCUUCUUCAAUAACAGCGAUGAAGAAUCCAUUAAGGUGUACCUCCGCGUGCGACCUUUGACCCAAGGCCGACUGUGGACAGACGGAGACCAGGAUUUAUGUUUGACGGUGACCUCGGAACACACGCUGCGUCUGAACUCCAAACCCAAGCCGCGAAACUUCACCUACGAUCACGUGGUGGACAUGGACGCGACUCAGGAAUACAUGUUCUCCUUAGUCGCUAAAAACAUCGUGGAGUCGUGCACGCAUGGUUACAAUGGCACGAUAUUCGCAUAACGGCAGUGUGAAGUGGUGUACCACUAUGUGAGGAGGGAGAAGUAUGCUCUGAGGAUGAGGAGAUGGAGCAGGAUGACGUGGCCUCUCUCUGGAGCUCCUCCACGUUCUUCACGCAAAAACAGUAACUCUCUCAAAUUCUGAUGGAGCGGCAUCUACAUAAUCAACAAAGCACACAAACAUCAGUUUCGUUCUGGGACACCGAUUUUCUAAAUCAUUCCAUUCGCUUUCUAUUUAUUUAUGUAGCAUUAUUAAAAGAUCAGUCAUCAA